UACGUAGGGUGCGAGCGUUGUCCGGAAUUACUGGGCGUAAAGAGCUCGUAGGUGGUUUGUCGCGUUGUUCGUGAAAACCGGGGGCUUAACCCUCGGCGUGCGGGCGAUACGGGCAGACUUGAGUACUGCAGGGGAGACUGGAAUUCCUGGUGUAGCGGUGGAAUGCGCAGAUAUCAGGAAGAACACCUAUGGCGAAGGCAGCACUCUGGGACGGUACUGACGCUGAGACGCGAAAGCGUGGGGAGCGAACAGG
rnacentral:rRNA from 1 species